GAAGACAGUCUGAAUAAUUGUUCUUAUGUGAACAGUAGAGAAUUAUGGCCUUUGUUGUGCACAGGGAUCCAAUUCCCACAGCGCAUCAUUCCUGCAUGGAGGUUUCUUUUCUUACAGGUGUUAGCUUGGACCGGUCUCAGGGGUCCGUCAGCUGCCUACCACAUGUAUAAGUAUGAGCCUGACAUGCAUAGAAAAUAUCAGGUCCUUUCUCAAGGCGCAGGUUGAAAUAGAUUCCCAUUUGGCAGUGUGACAUUUGCUCCAAGACAGGUUCUAAGUUGCCAGAAACAUAAGUUUUUUCAUUUGUUUCAAGCUGGACAAUUCCACUCACAUCACAAGGCCCUUGAGACACUGAAGGAGAGCUUUGAAAAGGGAUGGGUGUUAUCGUUUUUGGAACUGGGACUGGAGAUAGGCUUUUGAUUUUUUUUUUGCAUGACACAAAAGAUAAUCCCAAAAUACUAGCCAGUGACAUCAAAAAAGAUUACAUUUCCCAUAUCUUCAAAAAUAAUGCUCUCUUGGGUCUCCAUUCAUGUGAUCGUUAGCAGUGAACUCUUCUUAGAGUGACCCCUACCCUGAAAUAUUGCUGAGAGGCCCCCAAGGGGUGUCCAGUAUGUGAUCACAAACCAGUUUGUUGGCUGAGCACUUAGCUAUGUCUGCUUUGUCAUUCCUGUUAGUCAGGUUCCCACGUAGUUGAUCUUUUGCCCAAGAAAUAAUUAUAUAGGCUUCACUGCUUAUAGUCAGAAUUCUAGUAUCCAAGUCAAGAAUCAAGUCUACAGACCUUAAAACAUUCAUUCUUGAGUUGUGGAUUAGUCGGGAGAGCUACACUACGCUGCAGUAACAAAUAAACCACUAACAAGUGUUUGUCUUUUACUCAGCAGUCGGUGCUCGAUGGCUGUCCGUGGCCCCUUUCCUCUGAAUGCCGAUGACGCCAUCUGAAACAGGCAGCCUCAGAAGCUACCACAGAAGGACAUGGGAGCUUCAUGGCCAGGCUUCAAUGUCUGCAUCACAUCUGCCCACAUUCCUUUCUGCAGAACUCAGUCACGUGGCUCCACCCCAACUGCAGGGGAGGCUGUGGAAAUGCCGUCUUCCUGUGUGUCCUGAAGAGAAAAAGGAAACAUUAGGUAAAUAUGUAACACAGAGUCCACCACACAGAAGCAGUGCAUGUCUGAGUUCUGGGCAGAAGUCUGGAAGACGCAGCCUUCCCUGCCCUCCCUCACCAGGACUCUGGCCAUACUAUGACCCUACCUGAAUCAGAAACAGAUCAGCUUGAGCUCAGAGUCCCACUAUUGUUUCACUUAAUUGUGGCUCUUAUAUCUUGAACUACGUAAGUUCAAACCGAUUCUGGUGGUCCUGCUUAGAACAAGAUACCAUGCUCUUCUCCUAAUAGUCUUUCAUUCUGUUCCUAAAAUUCGUAUUUCUAAAUCUUAUUUCUUCCUUAGUUAUAAAGCCCAAAUUCCUGGCCAUGCAUCUGUGCAAACACGUAGAGGAGGAAAGGGUAGUGGGAGGUCACUCACACUAACAUCACUGGGGUUCUGCCUUUGUCAGCAAAAGGGCUUUGAACCAUGGGUUCUACCUGAUUUUCAACCUCUUCAGAAGACUGUGGGAUUGGUGAUGCAAAGAUGGAACCACCAUAAUUUGGAAAGCUCAAUCCCUUAAGAUUCUCUUCAGCCCCAAGGGACCCAGCACUUGAACAACAGUGGCUUAAAAUGAAAUCCCACUAGAUCUGGAGCCUGCAGAUGGGAUCCUGGUAAAGCUGGCAGACGCCAGCAGAGGGUGAGCAUUCUUCUGGGGUCAGCUCUUCUGAAUCUCCACAGUGCCUGGCUCUGAGAGGAAGAAGUGAAAUUCAUGGAAAGGACCCUACCAACUACCAUGGACCCUUGACACCACAAAAUCACAAGGUAUCAAACCUUUCACAACUGAAGAAGGUUGCACCUGAUAUCUGAUCCUAUACAAUGCUGGAGACCUCAAAAUCAAAGAUUAGGAAGAGAAGUAGCUGGACUGAGGUAGACAUACUGCUUCCUCCCACCAUGCUGAGUCAAGAACUUUUAUUUCCAAUUCUUACACUAUGAAUGAAGCUCUUUAUGAUUCUUGUAUCUUCCUUUGGCCUUGCUCUGUCCCAGAAAAAUGCCACUGUUCACAUAUGAGGCCUUGCAUGGGGAGGUGCAAUCCAGCCUUCAAACUACUAAUGGAUUAUCCUAUAGUUUUAUCCAUUGCAAACCUCUCCCUGAUUUCCAGUGCCUUGGUUUCUCAGGAACAAACUCUGCCCCUUUCUUUGGUUGUCCGGUUGUCCAUUUCCCUUCUCUUGUUGGCAAAUCCAAACUCAGGGAAACUAGCACCCAGGCUCUGCACCAAGAAAGGAACCCAAGGGCAGCCAGCAUAAAACUAUCUGUACAGUCUACAGACCCUUACAUUUUACUGACUUUCAGAGCUGUCACCUUUCCAGUUCUGAGCCACAAGUUCCAACAGGAAGUAGUAAGAGGCAUUCAUGAUUCAAAAUUAGUUUCCUUUGGCAGGUCCCACUCCUCUGACUAGGGGUAAGUGCAAACGAAGCUAUGAUCAGUAACCUCUUCUUAUUGGAUCUACUGCACAAUCUGCUGCUAAAGGAAUAGCUACCCAAUUGACAAAGUUGUUCCUGAUGAAAGAAGAGCCCUUCAAUACAGUCUUUUGUUGACAUCAUUGAUUCUGAUCAGUCUGGGUCUUGGGGCCAUGGCUCUGAAGUUUGCUCCAGACACUGGGGGUUAUCCUGUUUCUAAUAAUCACAAAUCACAGGAGUCUUCCCAGGGUGCUGUGUUUUCUCAAAAGCUUUAAAUGCAUAUUCAAAGCCAAUAAACACCGAGAAAAUGAUUUUUGUAAUAUUAGAACUUCAGAAAAGGAAUGAAGAGAGUGAUCUACUUUAAUGUGAACCUGACACUGACCUAUGGCUACCCCACAGAGGAUCAGCAAAAAAACUUCACAAAUUCCAGUGUGGUAGCUGGGGGUAGAGCUGAUACAUUAAAUUUUUAGCACAAGACAACAGGUCAAAAAUGGAAUCACUUAUGCUAAGCCCCAUGUCACCAAACCAAGACUUAAUUACAGUUUUGACUGUUCCAGAAAUGGAAUCUUAAAUCAGGCAAGCAGGAGAAACCUGGCAGCACUAGUAGGGUGAACACCUGCUAGGCCCCUGCCUUCUCCUGAUGGGAAGUAACUCUGCAAUGACCAAACCUGCUUUUUUGGCGACAGUAACUCCCUUAUUUCCACUCCCUCCUUUCUAUCUGCUAGACGGAUGUUGCCUGAUUCAUCAAUCACUGGAUAAAGCCAGUAAGAUUUUAAAAUUUACCCAGUUGAAUUUUGUUUUUUAACAGUACAAAUCCAUGAUGGGGAAUCCUAUUCAUUGAUAAGGAGUCAUGUUAGGAAUAAAGAAGUUGGAUAUUUUAAGAUUAAUGGAAGUUUUUAAAUAGGCAUAUGGCUGCAAAAAAACAUUCCAGCCCCUUUUAAUUCAUUGUUCCUUGGAGAAACAUCCAAAGGAUAAUUCGGAAGUACUGACUACUCAUUACAAUGGGUGAAAAGUAAUAAUAUUAAAUUUAGUUCAUGAUAGUCUACUCUCAAAAGUAGGAACAGGGAUUUUUUGUUUGUUUCUAUCAAACAGGUCACUUUUUAAAUUGGAAAAUGAGUGAAUUUUUAAAAGUCUUUUAAGCUCUAAGUAAAUGACAUUGCCCAUUAUAUAAAAAUAUACACACUACAAUGAAAAAUUUACCAGACUAUUCAACUUCCAUAAUUGAAUUGUCUAACUGUUGGGGGUCUAUUCAUUAUACAAAAAUUGAUUCAUAGUAAGUGAAAUUUGUAUAUUAAACAGUUUUUCCAAAUAACUGACUACCGUUCUAAUGGUCUUGUUUAUUUAAACAAUUAACAAUUACUGAGAAAGAAAAGUUGAGGCCAAUUAAAGACCAAGGUAAUACACACAUUGCAUGUUCCAGCAAUUAAUUGAUAACUUGCUUACCAGGGGCUAUCUAACAAUUAACCAGGGAAAUACUUCUAGGAAAUAGAAGCAUUAAUGCAAAUGUCUUCUAGAUUUAUUCUUUUCAAAUCCAUUUACCACAUUAUCUAAUCUGGCAUAGGCAGAAAACCCCCAAGGAAGAUUAAUAUUCAAAACACCUCUAAAGCCCUCUGGUGUUAGGAACCUUAAUUGUUUUGGCAACAUAAAUUGUUAAAGCAAGGAUUUCUAAGGACAGUUCUUAGCUAUCAUGGUCAGAAAUGUGACUCAAAAAUGGAGCAUAAAGAGUUGUAUAGACGCUGCAGCCUGGUGGCUCUCAGUAUGUUCUUGAUUCAUGUGGCUACAGAUGAUACACUC